rnacentral:rRNA from 1 species
AGGUGCUGCACGGCUGUCGUCAGCUCGUGUCGUGAGAUGUUGGGUUAAGUCCCGCAACGAGCGCAACCCUCGUCAUUAGUUACUAACAGUUCGGCUGAGGACUCUAAUGAGACUGCCUUCGUAAGGAGGAGGAAGGUGAGGACGACGUCAAGUCAUCAUGGCCCUUACGGCUAGGGCGACACACGUGCUACAAUGGUUAGGACAAUGAGAAGCGAUACCGCGAGGUGGAGCAAAUCUAUAAACCUAAUCUCAGUUCGGAUUGUAGUCUGCAACUCGACUACAUGAAGCUGGAAUCACUAGUAAUCGUAGAUCAGCCAUGCUACGGUGAAUACGUUCCCGGGUCUUGUACUCACCGCCCGUCACACCAUGGGAGUUGAUUUCACCCGAAGCGGGGAAGCUAAACUGGCUACCCUCCACGGUGGAAUUAGCGACUGGGGUGAAGUCCAAGCAACAUA